rnacentral:sRNA from 1 species
CGCAGCCGCGGUAAUUCCAGCUCCAAUAGCGUAUAUUAAAGUUGUUGCAGUUAAAAAGACUCGUAGUUGAAUUUCGGGACCAAUAUGUUGGUCGUGCCUAGGUACGUACUGUCAUGAUUGGUUUCUCCCUUCUGAAGAACCACGAUGCCAUUAAUUUGGUGUCGUGGGGAAUCAGGACUGUUACUUUGAAAAAUUAGAGUAGUUUAAAGCAGGCUCGCGCUUGAAUACAUUAGCAUGGAAUAAUGAAAUAGGACGUUUGAUUCUAUUUUGUUGGUUUCUAGGAUCGACGUAAUGAUUAAUAGGGAUAGUUGGGGGCAUUAGUAUUCAAUUGUCAGAGGUGAAAUUCUUGGAUUUAUUGAAGACUAACUACUGCGAAAGCAUUUGCCAAGGAUGUUUUCAUUAA